GGUGAGUAACACGUGGGCAACCUGCCUGUAAGAUCGGGAUAACGCCGGGAAACCGGGGCUAAUACCGGAUAGUUUUUUCCUCCGCAUGGAGGAAAAAGGAAAGACGGCUUCGGCUGUCACUUACAGAUGGGCCCGCGGCGCAUUAGCUAGUUGGUGGGGUAACGGCUCACCAAGGCAACGAUGCGUAGCCGACCUGAGAGGGUGAUCGGCCACAUUGGGACUGAGACACGGCCCAAACUCCUACGGGAGGCAGCAGUAGGGAAUCUUCCGCAAUGGACGAAAGUCUGACGGAGCAACGCCGCGUGAGUGAAGAAGGCCUUCGGGUCGUAAAACUCUGUUGCCGGGGAAGAACAAGUGCCGUUCGAACAGGGCGGCGCCUUGACGGUACCCGGCCAGAAAGCCACGGCUAACUACGUGCCAGCAGCCGCGGUAAUACGUAGGUGGCAAGCGUUGUCCGGAAUUAUUGGGCGUAAAGCGCGCGCAGGCGGCUUCUUAAGUCUGAUGUGAAAUCUUGCGGCUCAACCGCAAGCGGUCAUUGGAAACUGGGAGGCUUGAGUGCAGAAGAGGAGAGUGGAAUUCCACGUGUAGCGGUGAAAUGCGUAGAGAUGUGGAGGAACACCAGUGGCGAAGGCGGCUCUCUGGUCUGUAACUGACGCUGAGGCGCGAAAGCGUGGGGAGCAAACAGGAUUAGAUACCCUGGUAGUCCACGCC
rnacentral:rRNA from 2 species